AGUCGACGAUUAAAGCACCUUCGGGUGUGUAUAGAGUGGCGAACGGGUGAGUAACACGUGACCAACCUGCCUCUUACAUUGGGACAACCAAAAGAAAUUCUGGCUAAUACCAAAUACUCCGCACAUAUCACAUGAUGUAUGCGGGAAAGCUUUUGCGGUAAGAGAUGGGGUCGCGGCCCAUUAGGUAGACGGCGGGGUAGAAGCCCACCGUGCCGAUGAUGGGUAGCCGGGUUGAGAGACCGACCGGCCACAUUGGGACUGAGAUACGGCCCAGACUCCUACGGGAGGCAGCAGUGGGGAAUAUUGCGCAAUGGGGGAAACCCUGACGCAGCAACGCCGCGUGCGGGAUGAAGGCCUUCGGGUUGUAAACCGCUUUCAGCAGGGAAGACAUCGACGGUACCUGCAGAAGAAGCCCCGGCUAACUACGUGCCAGCAGCCGCGGUAAUACGUAGGGGGCGAGCGUUAUCCGGAUUCAUUGGGCGUAAAGCGCGCGCAGGCGGUUGCUCAAGCGGAACCUCUAAUCUCGGGGCUUAACCUCGAGCCGGGUUCCGAACUGGACGACUCGAGUGCGGUAGAGGCAGAUGGAAUUCCCGGUGUAGCGGUGGAAUGCGCAGAUAUCGGGAAGAACACCAACGGCGAAGGCAGUCUGCUGGGCCGUCACUGACGCUGAGGCGCGAAAGCUGGGGGAGCGAACAGGAUUAGAUACCCUGGUAGUCCCAGCCGUAAACGAUGAGCGCUGGGUGUGGGAGAUUACAUCUUCCGUGCCGAAGCUAACGCAUUAAGCGCUCCGCCUGGGGAGUACGGCCGCAAGGCUAAAACUCAAAGGAAUUGACGGGGGCCCGCACAAGCAGCGGAGCAUGUGGCUUAAUUC
rnacentral:rRNA from 1 species